UUACAAAAAGUGUUGCUUAUUCUCAACUAGAUCUCACAAUCCAAACAUGCAUUUUCAUUCUUAGUUCCUCACUUUUGCUUUUAAUGCUCUGAAAUGAUGAAACCACCUCUCCAUCCUCUUCAAUUUCUUGCUCCGCCUCUUCAAUCUGUCGUUCCCUUCAUCGAUCUUAUGGUUCGCAAAUAAAAACCACAAAUCGCGUGCUCUACUCCGGAUUCGCCUCUUCAUUCUCUCAUUCGCUACUAUCAUCGAAGUCGCCACCAUCGUCACUGCCAUUAUGAUGAUAGGUACAAUUAUUUUGUUGUGAUUUGUUUGCUCACCGGAUAAUCAUCAACUACAGCAAGGCAUUCUAGUUAUUUCCAAGUGGUUAAUCUAUAAUCAAUUUAAAUUUUUUGCUUCUAAAGGAAUCAAACUUGGAGAGAUUGGGAGUGUGCGAGGCUAUGGUAAAUGAGUAUAGUAGGGUCUAGGAGAUCUUGUCCACAUCUUUUGGAAGGUCCAAGGUUGAAUUCAUGAGCAUGUUGCAGGUGUGUGACAAACAAAAAGCUAUACUAUAGUGGAUUGGUUGUAGCUGGUGUUUUUCCAUCACCUUUUGAUUAUGCAAAUGUAGUGACUACCACCACUCACAAGUCACUUCAUAGCCCCUGUGGAGCUAUGAUAUUCUUUAGAAAGAGUGUUAGGGUGUGUGUGGUUCAAAGAUUAAAUUUUAUUAUUAAGAAUAUCAUUUUUAGGAAUAUAAUGUCUAGGAAUGAGAUUACUUGGAAUAUAUGAUUCCCAUAUUUGGUUGUAAAAUUUAAUACAUUAGAAUAUUAUAUAAUAAUCUUAGA